AGCAGUAGCCGCGGUAAUACAGAGGGUGCGAGCGUUAAUCGGAUUUACUGGGCGUAAAGCGUGCGUAGGCGGCUUUUUAAGUCGGAUGUGAAAUCCCUGAGCUUAACUUAGGAAUUGCAUUCGAUACUGGGAAGCUAGAGUAUGGGAGAGGAUGGUAGAAUUCCAGGUGUAGCGGUGAAAUGCGUAGAGAUCUGGAGGAAUACCGAUGGCGAAGGCAGCCAUCUGGCCUAAUACUGACGCUGAGGUACGAAAGCAUGGGGAGCAAACAGGAUUAGAUACCCGUGUAGUCCCUGUCUCUUAUAA
rnacentral:rRNA from 1 species